rnacentral:rRNA from 1 species
AUUGAACGCUGGCGGCAUGCCUUACACAUGCAAGUCGAACGGCAGCACGGGUGCUUGCACCUGGUGGCGAGUGGCGAACGGGUGAGUAAUACAUCGGCACAUGUCCUGAAGUGGGGGAUAGCCCGGCGAAAGCCGGACUAAUACCGCAAACGAUCAACGGCUGAAAGCGGGGGACCUUCGGGCCUCGCGCUAUAGGGUUGGCCGAUGGCUGAUUAGCUAGUUGGUGGGGUAAAGGCCUACCAAGGCGACGAUCAGUAGCUGGUCUGAGAGGACGACCAGCCACACUGGAACUGAGACACGGCCCAGACUCCUACGGGAGGCAGCAGUGGGGAAUAUUGGACAAUGGGCGCAAGCCUGAUCCAGCAAUGCCGCGUGUGUGAAGAAGGCCUUCGGGUUGUAAAGCACUUUUGUCCGGAAAGAAAUGCUUGGCUCUAAUACAGUCGGGGGAUGACGGUACCGGAAGAAUAAGCACCGGCUAACUACGUG